GAUGAACGCUGGCGGCGUGCUUAACACAUGCAAGUCGAACGGAAAGGCCACAGCUUGCUGUGGUACUCGAGUGGCGAACGGGUGAGUAACACGUGGGUGAUCUGCCCUGUACUUCGGGAUAAGCUUGGGAAACUGGGUCUAAUACCGGAUAGGAAUCACAUGUGGGUGUGGGGGUGGAAAGCUUUUGUGGUAUGGGAUGAGCUCGCGGCCUAUCAGCUUGUUGGUGGGGUAAUGGCCUACCAAGGCGUCGACGGGUAGCCGGCCUGAGAGGGUGUACGGCCACAUUGGGACUGAGAUACGGCCCAGACUCCUACGGGAGGCAGCAGUGGGGAAUAUUGCACAAUGGGCGCAAGCCUGAUGCAGCGACGCCGCGUGGGGGAUGACGGCCUUCGGGUUGUAAACUCCUUUCGUCAGGGACGAAGCGAAAGUGACGGUACCUGGAUAAGAAGCACCGGCUAACUACGUG
rnacentral:rRNA from 1 species